rnacentral:rRNA from 1 species
GAUGAACGCUGGCGGCGUGCCUAAUACAUGCAAGUCGAGCGAACAGACGAGGAGCUUGCUCCUCUGACGUUAGCGGCGGACGGGUGAGUAACACGUGGAUAACCUACCUAUAAGACUGGGAUAACUUCGGGAAACCGGAGCUAAUACCGGAUAAUAUAUUGAACCGCAUGGUUCAAUAGUGAAAGACGGUUUUGCUGUCAAUUAUAGAUGGAUCAGCGCCGCAUUAGCUAGUUGGGAAGGUAACGGCUUACCAAGGCAACGAUGCGUAGCCGACCUGAGAGAGGGAUCGGCCACACUGGAACUGAGACACGGUCCAGACUCCUACGGGAGGCAGCAGUAGGGAAUCUUCCGCAAUGGGCGAAAGCCUGACGGAGCAACGCCGCGUGAGUGAUGAAGGUCUUCGGAUCGUAAAACUCUGUUAUUAGGGAAGAACAAAUGUGUAAGUAACUAUGCACGUCUUGACGGUACCUAAUCAGAAAGCCACGGCUAACUACGUG